CGGGGACAUCCGGGCUCUGAGCCAGACUCUGUGCCGGGCGGGGGCCGGGAAGUGGUGGGAGAAGUCGCCGCCCGCGUCUGUCCAAACUUAGUCCCAAACUCAGGAGGUUCCUGUCCCAAGAAGCAAUGUAAAGUUUGAAACGAGCCACCGCGCCCUGCCUAUAUUAGGUUUUUAAAUAGCAGGAGGCAAAGCUUUUCGGUGUGAUCCUGACUUCACUUGGGGAAAAAGGACACAGGGUCUCACUGUGUUGGCCAGGCUGGAGUGCGGCAGUCUGGAACUCCUGGGCCCAAGUGAUCCUCCAAUCAGCCUCACAAAGCACUGGAAUUACAGAUGGAGUUUUGCUCUUGUUGCCCAGGCUGGAGUACAAUGGCGCAAUCUCGGCUCACUGCAACCUCCGCCUCCGGGUUCAAGUGAUUCUCCUGCCUCAGCCUCCUGAGUAGCUGGGAUUACAGGAGCCUACUACCACGGCCAGCUAAUUUUUUUGUAUUUUUAGUAGAGACGGGGCUUUACCAUGUUGGCCAGGCUGGUUUCAAACUCCUGACCUCAGGUGAUCCACCCGCCUCGGCCUCCCAAACUGCUGGGAUUAUAGGCAUGAGCCACCGUGCCCGGCCCAUAGAUUACUUUUAUAAUCAAGUUUUUCUUUACUUUUUAAAGAGUAAAUUCUCUCACCUCAGGUAGCUCAGAGAGCUGCGCUGGAGGAGAAAAGCCAGUCCUGGCAGGAGCUCUGGUACCUGGGAAGCUGGAUGGAGAGCCUGGGCCAGAAUCCCGGACCCCUCACCUCUGCGGCCUAGCUUUGUGACCUUGGCAAAUCCAUUCUAUGCACCUCCAUUUCCUGUACAGUGGGGAUCCUUAUUUCUCUGGCACAGAUUGGUAUUUGUUCUGUAAAGCCCAGUACCACUU
rnacentral:lncRNA from 1 species